rnacentral:rRNA from 1 species
GUGGGGAAUAUUGGACAAUGGGGGGAACCCUGAUCCAGCCAUGCCGCGUGUGUGAAGAAGGCCUUUUGGUUGUAAAGCACUUUAAGCGAGGAGGAGGCUACCGAGAUUAAUACUCUUGGAUAGUGGACGUUACUCGCAGAAUAAGCACCGGCUAACUCUGUGCCAGCAGCCGCGGUAAUACAGAGGGUGCAAGCGUUAAUCGGAUUUACUGGGCGUAAAGCGCGCGUAGGUGGCCAAUUAAGUCAAAUGUGAAAUCCCCGAGCUUAACUUGGGAAUUGCAUUCGAUACUGGUUGGCUAGAGUAUGGGAGAGGAUGGUAGAAUUCCAGGUGUAGCGGUGAAAUGCGUAGAGAUCUGGAGGAAUACCGAUGGCGAAGGCAGCCAUCUGGCCUAAUACUGACGCUCAGGCACGAAAGCGUGGGGAGCAAACAGGAUUAGAAACCCGAGUAGUCC